rnacentral:rRNA from 1 species
AUGAGCUUAUCUGCCAUUGGGGUCGUCAGUGCCAUCAAUGAGUGUGUCACUUUGUGGCAGUGGGCCAAAUCUGUCAUUUCAUCUCUUCACUCCCGAUGGAGUGGCUCACAUGAUCAAAUUCUCCAGGAUCGCGUAUUGCAGCUAGAGAGUGGCCUACGACUUCUCAAGGACACUCUUCCUGCAAUGCACGACCUUAUUAAUAAAGCUGAGUGGAAAAGCCAUGAACACGGUGUGGCCAAGCUCCUUCCAAAUCUCAAGGAUGCAGUGUCGGACGCCGAGGACCUUCUCGAUGAGUUCAGAUGGUACGAGUUGAAGCUGCAAGUGGAGGGUGAUGCAAACCAAUCUUCUCUGCUUGACUUCUUUGGCACCGUCAUUCCAGGUAGCUUUGAUAAACUAAAUGAUGUCCAGUUGAGGCUAAAUCAUCUUUCAAUUCAGAUGGAGAAUAUGGGGCUCCGUGGAGUUACACAACACUUUGACAAAUUAGUCAGACCAGAGACCACCUCUUUGCCAAAUGAAACAAAGAUAUUUGGUCGUGAUAAGGAACUGAAGCAGGUAUUGGGAUUUCUCAAUGUACCAUUGAAUUCAAAACGCAAGAGAGCAACUUGUUCAGCCAAUGCAUCAACAAGCAACCUAGUUAAUGAUGCAUCAAGAAUAUAUAGUCUUCCUAUUUUGCCAUUAGUUGGAAUUGGUGGUGUUGGAAAGACUACUUUGGCCCAACAUAUAUGCAACCAUCAACGAGUGAAGUCUCACUUUGAGCUGAUAAUUUGGAUUUGCGUCUCAGACGACUUUGAUGUGAAGAGGCUAACUAAAGAGGUCAUACAAUCCUGUAACGGAAAGGAGGCAACAACUGACAAUUUGGAUUCUCUUCAGCGUGCUUUGUCUAACCAUGUGAAAAACAAAAGGGUAUUGCUAGUCCUUGAUGACAUGUGGGAUGAUUCCUUGAAGGAAAAUGGGCAAUGUUGGAAGAGGUUUUGUGCACCUUUUACAAGUGUUCAAGAGGGAAGUAUGAUGUUCGUCACCACUAGAUGCCCCAAGGUUGCGGAGGGGGUGCGCACAAUGGAGCACGUUAAAUUAGAUGGUCUAGAGGACUCCAUCUUCUGGAAAUUCUUCAAACUGUGCGCAUUUGGGUCUGAGAAUUCUAUAAAUGAUCCAGAGUUAGAGUGCAUCGGUAGAAGAAUACUUCCUAAACUAAAGGGUUCUCCUUUGGCUGCCAAAACUCUAGGACGCAUGUUAAGCAUGGACAUGCAAGCAUCACAUUGGAAUUCUAUACUUGUGAGUGAAUUGUGGGAGUUGAGACAAGAGGAUACUGACAUUUUACCGGCCCUUCGGCUGAGCUACAUGUAUUUGCCAUUUUAUUUGAAGCAAUGUUUUGUAUUUUGUGCUGUAUACCCCAAAGAUUACAAAUUCCAAAAGGCAUGCUUAGCUGAAAUUUGGGUGGCGGAAGGCUUUGUGGAUCCUCAAGGUCGUGUUCCAAUUGAAGAUAUUGGUUGUCGGUAUUUUGAAGACCUUGUAGCUCGGUCCUUCUUUCAAAAAGCUAGUGGUGGAUACAUAAUCCAUGACUUACUGCAUGACAUGGCACAGAAAGUUUCGGAGCAUGACUGUUUCAUCUUAAGAAAUAAGAGUGAAUUUGAUAAAGUUCCCCAAAAUGUUCGUCAUCUAUACGUACUCCCCAGCAAUGACUUUGAUGAGUCCACCUUGUUGAGACUAUCCAAAUACACAAAGCUGCGUACUCUAAUUUGCAAGAAAAAUUUAGGGAAGAUGACAGGCUUUGUAAUGGACCACUGGUGUACUAAACUUAUGCGCAUGCGUGUGAUUUCUUGUGCCUACACAAACGAGUUGCCAGAGAGUAUUGGAAAUUGGAAACAUCUUCGGUACCUUGAAAUCUCCAGAGCUUGUCCUUUGAAGAGGAUUCCUUCAACUUUCUGUUGGCUAUAUAAUCUGCAGAUUUUAUAUGCCAAGAAAUGCAAGCUAGAUAGCUUGCCCGGUGACUUUGGUAAGUUGAUCAGUUUACAAAAACUUGAAUCACUUGGAUUAGCAUAUUGUGCCAGGAACAAUACCACACUAAAUCGGGAUCAUGCAACAGAAGCUGAACCAGAGAAUAGGAAAUAUCUUGAUGAAUUGACACUGGUUCUGGGUUCAGACAUGUCUCAACCUCCCACCGGUCUCAAGUCUCUAUUCCUCAAAAAUUAUGGUGGUUCCUCUCUCCCAAGCUGGUUUCAGCCACAAAACUUGCCAAGUUUAGCAUCACUUGGUUUUGAAAGUUGUGAUGGACUCAAGAGCAUAAACUUAAAUGAGAGACCUGCAGUUGGAGGCAGCAUUACAACAUUUUCGUUCCUUACUGUCCUAACAGUUACAUAUUGUGAUAGAUUGUCCACCCUUGAUGACCUCCUAACACAAGAAUAUAUACCUGCCAUCGAGAAAAUUCACAUCGAAGAUUGUCCCUGGUUACUGUCCAUUCCUGGUCAAAGGUUUGGUAGUUUUUGUUACCUGAAACAUCUGGCGGUUAUAGUAUGCCCAAGUAUCAACUGGCAAAGCGGAUUGGUGUUGCCAUCAUCUCUCCGAAGUCUCAGCUUACUAAAAUGUGGGGAUAUCUCUCCACAUGUUCCCAGCUGCCUAAAGUACCUCACAUCUCUUGUCUCACUAAACAUUGAUGGUUUGCGUAUAACAUCCAUUCCAGGCAACAUUUGGCGCAGAAAUCUUGCAUCACUUGAGGAACUAGAGAUUUCAGAUUGUCCUGACCUAGUUUCAAUUGGUGGAGCAAAGGCAGUUGCAAAAAUAAAGAGGGUGUUGAUAUUGAGGUGUCCAAAGUUGGAGGAAGCGGAGCAGAUCAAUAAAAGAACCCACCUAAAGGCCAGCAUGCAGGAAUCCGUAGCUGCAUUAUUUGGACGUUGGAAGGCCCGAGGACAAGGAAACUUACUUGUCAGUGACAAUGAAUGA